GUGCAGAGAUUUAAUACUUAACUCCAGCUUCUCCCCGCUCCUUACCUGCCUGAGGAGACAGGUUACGAGGGAUCCCCCACCCCAGGAACAGCCUAAAAUCUCAAGAAGAGGAAGAGGAAACCCACAAACAAACAGCUUUUCCAGUUUCAUCUGCCCCCACCUCCCUGAGUCCUGGACUGGUGGGAUCCAGAAGGAAGGGCCCAAACUGCAGCCUCAUAAACUUUCCCGAAAGCCCUCAUAAACACCAGGCCCGGCUGGUGCCACGUCUGGUGCUGCAAAAAGCAAAAUCUCUAGUUGUAAAGUAAUCCUCAUAAAAAAAGGAGAGAAAAGAAGAAAAACCUAUGUGAUAAACACAGUAAUGGCCUCUAGGAAACAAGGUAAAG
rnacentral:lncRNA from 1 species